AGCCGGCAAAGGAGCCCUGGCCUGAGAAGCGCCUGAAGGCCCUGGCGCCUGAGUGCCCUCGUGCCAGAGGCCCGUCGUGCGAAUUUUUCAGUAAGGAGUUUGGCUUCUGCCACCUAUUGCGUUCCUAUCGUCCUUGAUACUCGUGGACACCUGGAGCCACCCGCCCAGCUCAGUCACUGUGCAGUGGAGUCUGCUGGAGGCCUGGCGAGGUGGUCCUUCUCCACCAUGAAGCUAAGGAUCCCAGACUGGAUGGUGAAGAUGGCCUGGGCUAGGUUGCCUGGAUGGAAAUCUAUGACAAAAAGACCCAGCUUUUUAUUGCACUUAAAUCUUCCAUUGGUUUUAUCAGUUGACUUUGCCAUGAAUAACCUUAUGGAUGCGGCUGGACCCAUAUGUCAUUCAAAAAUCAGAAAGGAGGAACUCAGCAUACAUGCAAGGUACCAGACUUUCCUAAUUCAUAGAUGGUCCUAUUUUAAGUAUCCAGUUUGCUGUUGUUGGAGCUUUAUUAUUGCUGUAUUUCUGUCAUUACUCGUCUCUACCCAUUGUCACCUUGCUCAGGCUUUGGUAGAGGCUGGAACAAGGCCCCAUCUGGAGAGCCACGCAAGGCUGGCACCAAGUCCAGGGCACCACUGCAGUGCUGCCUCCUCAAGAUUCAUAGUUUUGCAAAUGAGUAUCCAAUUGAUCCACUACCCAAACCAACUUCCUGCCCACUUCCUGCAUAUCAGCUUUUUAAUGUCAGAUUUCUGGGCACUUUAUUAUUAUCCUUGUCUAUUUCUGAGCUAA
rnacentral:lncRNA from 1 species